rnacentral:tRNA from 1 species
GGUAAUAAAAUCAGGCGGAAUACGCUCUCACUCGGCCUCUCACGCCAGUAACGCGGGUUCGACCCCCGCUGGGACCACCA